CCUACGGGAGGCAGCAGUGGGGAAUAUUGCGCAAUGGGCGAAAGCCUGACGCAGCGACGCCGCGUGAGGGAUGAAGGUCUUCGGAUCGUAAACCUCUGUCAGCAGGGAAGAACGGUCACUGUGCUAAUCAGCAGUGAAUUGACGGUACCUGCAAAGGAAGCACCGGCUAACUCCGUGCCAGCCGCCGCGGUAAUACGGAGGGUGCGAGCGUUAAUCGGAAUUACUGGGCGUAAAGGGCUCGUAGGCGGUAUGUCAAGUCAGGGGUGAAAUCCCGCCGCUCAACGUGGGAACUGCCUUUGAUACUGGCAAACUUGAGUGUGUGUGAGGAUAGUGGAAUUCGAGGUGUAGGAGUGAAAUCCGUAGAUAUCAGGAGGAACAUCAGUGGCGAAGGCGACUAUCUGGCA
rnacentral:rRNA from 1 species